rnacentral:tRNA from 1 species
GCGGGUAUAGUUUAGUGGUAGAACGUGGCCUUGCCAUGGCUAAGACGGGAGUUCGAUUCUCCCUACCCGCA